GAGUUUGAUCCUGGCUCAGGAUUAACGCUAGCGGCAGGCAUAAUACAUGCAAGUUGAACGGGAUAAGUUUUAGCAAUAGAACUUUGAGAGUGGCGCACGGGUGCGUAACACGUAUGCAACCUACCCUUUACUAAGGAAUAGCCUCUCGAAAGAGAGAUUAAUACCUUAUAAUAUGUACGAAAGGCAUCUUUUGUAUCUUAAAGCUGAGGCGGUAAAGGAUGGGCAUGCGGUUGAUUAGCUAGUUGGUGAGGUAAUGGCUCACCAAGGCUUCGAUCAAUAGGGGGUCUGAGAGGAUGUCCCCCCACACUGGUACUGAGACACGGACCAGACUCCUACGGGAGGCAGCAGUAGGGAAUAUUGGACAAUGGGCGCAAGCCUGAUCCAGCCAUGCCGCGUGCAGGAUGAAGGCCCUAUGGGUCUAAACUGCUUUUUGUACGGGAAGAAACCUUACUACGUGUAGUAAGCUGACGGUACCGUGAGAAUAAGGAUCGGCUAAC
rnacentral:rRNA from 1 species